UGUACAGCGUGUGUGAUUAAACAAAGCUCACCAAUCUUUUCCUCUGCGUUAAGGAUUCUUUUUUUUUUUUUGAGAUGGAGUUUCGCUCCUGUUGACCAGGCUGGAGUGCAAUGGCGCGAUCUCGGCUCACCGCAACCUCCACCUCCCGGGUUCAAGCGAUUCUCCUGCCUCGGCCUCCUAAGUAGCUGGGAUUACAGGCAUGUGCCACCACACCUGGCUAAUUUUGUAUUUUUAGUAGAGAUGGGGUUUCUCCAUGUUGGUCAGGAUGGUCUCGAACUCCUGACCUCAGGUGAUCCACCCACCUCUGCCUCCCAAAGUGCUGGGAUUACAGGCGUGAGCCACCGCACUCUGCCUAGGGAUUCUUAAUCUAGGUUAACAUACCCUCUGCCUCUAAGUUUUUGUGAGUAUGGAUCAUUUUUGUGAUGAGAAGGCCCAAAGUCUUAAAAUUUCACGUGCCCUUCCCCCAACCAGAGAUAACUAUUUUUGAAGCUGUAGAGAAUCGAUUACAAGUAGUGGUACGGCCAUUUCUUUUGAACAAUGCCUUUGAUGGACUUUGGAGAGGAGAAACUAGUAUUGACCAAAAUUUGCCUCCUCAGCAAACUAUCCCAGGGCACUUUUCUAGGAGUGACCACGUGCGAACCUUCAUGGCCUUCUCUCCUACUCCUAAGGGAACCUAAUGGCAAUUUCCAGAUUUCUAAAGAAACAUUCUUAUCCGGGGCAACAUGGCAAAACCUUGUCUCUACAAAAAAUACAAAAACAAUUAGCCAGGCGUGGCAUGUGCCUGUGGUCCCAGCUACUCAGGAGGGAGAGGCGGAAGGAUCGCUUGAACGUGGGAGGUCAAGGUUGCAAUAAGGCAUGAUCAUGCUACUGCGCUCCAGCCUGGGCAACAGAGCAAGACCGUCUCUGGAAAACAAAGAAAAAGAAAGGAUUCUUCUUUGCCACAGGGAGCCUGGGGUCAUCUAUCAAAUAAAGUAACGGAGGAAGGUUGAGUUCUCCAGAAGCAGACUCAUACGGAGUUUAGUGCGGAAAAGGGUGCUUUUGGGACCAACAGCUGGGAAAGAGAGGGAAAGAAAGCAUACUUUGGCAGAGGGAGAAGUCAAGAAGUAGUACAGUCCAACAAAAGCCUCAUGGAGACCUUUGGUGCUAAAAUGAUCUUUCAGGUAUCUUACAUUCGGUUGAAAUGACUGGACCUUUAUACUCCCGCUUCAGUCAUUCAUGAGAUGUACAUCAACCUUGGAAGGAUGAUUCUUUGCAUAAUCUCGCUCUGUCGUCCAGGCUGGAGUGCAGUGGCUCAAUCUCUGCUUACUGCAAGCUCUGCCUCCCGGGUUCACGCCAUUCUCCUGCCUCAGCCUCCGGAGUAGCUGGGACUACAGGUGCCUGCCACCACGCCUGGCUACUUUUUUGUAUUUUUAGUAGCGAUGGGGUUUCACUGUGUUAGCCAGGAUGGUCUUGAUCUCCUGACCUCGUGAUCCACCAGUCUUGGCCUCCCAAAGUGCUGGGAUUACAGGUGUGAGCCACUGCACCUGGCAUACCUAAUGUAUGUUCUUUCUUUCUUUUUUUAUGAGAUGGAGUUUCGCUCUUGUCGCUCAGGCUGGAGUGCAAUAGAGAUACCUCGGCUCACCGCAACCUCUGUCUCCCAGGUUCAAGUGAUUUUCCUGCCUCAGCCUCCCAAGUAGCUGGGAUUACAGGCAUGCACCACCACGCCCGGCUAAUUUUUUGUAUUUUUAGUAAAGACGGGGUUUCUCCAUGUUGGUCAGGCUUGUCUUGAACUCCCGACCUCAGGUGAUCCACCUGUC